GCAUUAGCAGUGUAACGGUAUCACACCAGCCUUCCAAGCUGGUGACUUUAGGCUAAUGCA
rnacentral:tRNA from 1 species